AGUGAACGCUGGCGGUAGGCCUAACACAUGCAAGUCGAACGGCAGCACAGGAGAGCUUGCUCUCUGGGUGGCGAGUGGCGGACGGGUGAGGAAUACAUCGGAAUCUACUCUGUCGUGGGGGAUAACGUAGGGAAACUUACGCUAAUACCGCAUACGACCUACGGGUGAAAGCAGGGGACCUUCGGGCCUUGCGCGAUUGAAUGAGCCGAUGUCGGAUUAGCUAGUUGGCGGGGUAAAGGCCCACCAAGGCGACGAUCCGUAGCUGGUCUGAGAGGAUGGUCGGCCACACUGGAACUGAGACACGGUCCAGACUCCUACGGGAGGCAGCAGUGGGGAAUAUUGGACAAUGGGCGCAAGCCUGAUCCAGCCACACCGCGUGGGUGAAGAAGGCCUUCGGGUUGUAAAGCCCUUUUGUUGGGAAAGAAAUCCAGCUGGCUAAUACCCGGUUGGGAUGACGGUACCCAAAGAAUAAGCACCGGCUAACUUCGUGCCAGCCGCCGCGGUAA
rnacentral:rRNA from 1 species